CAGUAGGGAUGAGAGGACACU
rnacentral:miRNA from 1 species